ensembl:lncRNA
GUGGUCAUCAGCAAGUGUGGAGCCAAACAGAGUACGGUGCAUAGACUGUUUUUUUUUCUCGUUAGUUUUCAUGGCUAAAAUGAGAGAUCAGGUGGCUGAUCUUAAAAUAAAUCAAUACUGAAUUUUUUAUAGAGCGUUAAAGUUUUGCGAAGCCAGGGGGCGGGGCUACUUGAUUGACAGUCUGGUCUGGAAUGAUUGACAGGUCCUAUGGAGGAGGCAGCAGAGACUCUGCUCGCCUGGUUUGGAUUAAUUCUGAUAUAAUAACUGUUGGUUUAUUUAUCGGUGGAGCAGCAGAACAUUUUCCACAGACAGUUUUCCUGCCCGUUGGCUUGUUUUAACUAGUUUUCUGCCUUCGGCUGAUUCUACCAGCAGACACUGAAAGGACUCUGAUAGUUUGGUGUCUCAUAUUCACUGUGAGGAUCUUCUGAGUGAAGCCAGCAGAAGGAAAACCUCAUCUGGAUGUGAAGAAGGAGACUGAAUGGACGACAUCCUCAGUGAACCACUUGUUUUCAGUUCAGUAAUUCAGUCCUUCGGCUGAUUUGACCAACAGACACUGAAGGACUCCGAGAGCAGAGUGAAAGUAACAGUUCCUCCUGAAGGUCAGAGGUUGCAGCAUCUGAGGGCCUCUUCAAAAGAAGACGUAGUUGAUGAAGGCGUUCUGGAGCAGGACCAGAAAGACCACGACCAAGCAGCCUUGAGAUCUUAGGCAGCGUCUCCCUCAGGUCCCUCUCUAUCUCCCCACACAUCUCCAAAGUUCUGCUGGGCCAGCUCAGCUUCCCCUCAGAAGAAGUGCCGCCACCUGCCAGAUGAAGGAGCCUUUUGAGAGGCAGCUGGCAUCGUGAUUGGACUGUACUUUGGUCUGUUCCAAUCCAGCUUCAGCUCCAGAGACGGCAGGCGGGACGAGUCAACGGAGGCUGGAUGGACGAAGACCAAAGAACUACAGACUCUUCACAACCUGCUUAAACUCUUGGUACAGGACCUCACCACACGGGUCAAGAAGGUUUCUGUCUCAUUUCUACUCUGAAGCUCACCUUCUCCUGCUCAAACUGCUGACAAAUGUUUCUGCUGCUCUAAAGUCUGGUCUCCAGAACUUCCUAAAAACUCUCAAAGUCUCUUCUGCUGCAGGUUGCUUUGUAGAACUGUUGCAGAAAACCUCACUAAACCACAUGGAGGGGGCUCAAGAUAGUCGUCCAAAUGAAACAGUACAAAAACCAAACUAGCACAACCCAAACGCUAAAGUCUCCUGCAGCCUACCAGAGAACCUCUGAGAACAGAGAAUCAGGACAGGAACUCUUACCUUCUGGACAACCAACGCUGGUUCUCAAACAAGAAUACAGAAUGUGUCUGACCAAAAACCUCUGAAGACUCACUACAGCCAAGACAAAGACACAACUCAGCUGCACCAAAUCCACUAAUCACUGCACACAUUAGCACCAUGUGCUAACUGUGGCUAAAGAACCACAUUUACCAAGACAACUAUCCAGUACAAAGCCCUAAAACACACCAAGAAACACAUUAAAGACGAUUUUACUGCUGGAAGCUGCAAGCCAACGUCUAAAGAACAAACUAAAGCAAUGGAGCCAAACCCGGUUCAGUGGUGAAGAGAAGCAGAGGAAAUGUUUGUCUGCAGCUAAAUAAAGCAGGAAGACACUGAGCUGCUCAGGUGUUCCUGAUAACACCAAGCAGCCACCUGGACAGCCAAUAGGAACACAGCUUACUGGAAGUCCAGAGGGCUGGGUUAGUGAAGGAAAUUUAGUUUAAAGUUGAAGCAGAAAGUUAACAAAGAAAGUUGAAAACCACCUUCUGAUACCUGAAAUCUCUGAGUUUUUACACAAAGAACGCCUGAACAUGUCAAACUGGUUCCAUAGUAGAACCCUCAUUGUAAAAACGUCAUAGUAUGG